UGAGCAAUCUGCCCUUCUCUUUGGAAUAAGCGCUGGAAACGACGUCUAAUGCCGAAUACGACCUCCUUUCGCAUGAUCGGAGGUGGAAAGCUCCGGCGGAGAAGGAUGAGCUCGCGGCCUAUCAGCUAGUUGGUGUGGGUAAUAGCCCACCAAGGCGACGACGGGUAGCCGGCCUGAGAGGGUGACCGGCCACACUGGGACUGAGACACGGCCCAGACUCCUACGGGAGCAG
rnacentral:rRNA from 1 species